CCUAGCAUCUAGCCGAGUGGCGGACGGGUGAGUAAUGUCUGGGAAACUGCCCGAUGGAGGGCUAGCUUCCGGAUAACUACUGGAAACGGUAGCUAAUACCGCAUAACGUCGCAAGACCAAAGAGGGGGACCUUCGGGCCUCUUGCCAUCGGAUGUGCCCAGAUGGGAUUAGCUAGUAGGUGGGGUAACGGCUCACCUAGGCGACGAUCCCUAGCUGGUCUGAGAGGAUGACCAGCCACACUGGAACUGAGACACGGUCCAGACUCCUACGGGAGGCAGCAGUGGGGAAUAUUGCACAAUGGGCGCAAGCCUGAUGCAGCCAUGCCGCGUGUAUGAAGAAGGCCUUCGGGUUGUAAAGUACUUUCAGCGAGGAGGAAGGGGAUGUGGUUAAUAACCGCAUUCAUUGACGUUACUCGCAGAAGAAGCACCGGCUAACUCCGUGCCAGCAGCCGCGGUAAUACGGAGGGUGCAAGCGUUAAUCGGAAUUACUGGGCGUAAAGCGCACGCAGGCGGUCUGUCAAGUCGGAUGUGAAAUCCCCGGGCUCAACCUGGGAACUGCAUCCGAAACUGGCAGGCUAGAGUCUUGUAGAGGGGGGUAGAAUUCCAGGUGUAGCGGUGAAAUGCGUAGAGAUCUGGAGGAAUACCGGUGGCGAAGGCGGCCCCCUGGACAAAGACUGACGCUCAGGUGCGAAAGCGUGGGGAGCAAACAGGAUUAGAUACCCUG
rnacentral:rRNA from 1 species